ACAGAUAACAAUAGCUGAAAUUGCAUCGCCUCCUAUGAGAAAGUAAGAUAAUACAGUUUCAAAAGUAGAAAGGUUUUUGUUUUUGUUGUUUUGUUUUUGAGACAGUCUUAAGUUGUCGCCCUGGGUAGAAUACUGUGGUGUCACAGCUCAUAGCAAUCUCAAACUCUCAGGCUCAAGCAAUUCUCUUGCCUCAGUCUCCCAAGUAGCUGGGCCUACAGGCGCCAACCACAACGCCCCAGCUAUUUUUUGUUAUUGCAGUUGUCGUUGUUUAGCUGGCCUGGCCUGGGUAUAUGUGCUUGUCGCCCUACCCACUGAGCUACGGGUGCGGAAAAGUAGUAAGUUUUUUAUAUGGUAUGUUAAUUUUAUUUAUUAUGGCUACAAAGUCUUUAAUUUUGGUCCCUUGAGAAAAUUAUAGCUGCAAAAAGCAUCUUUUGUUAUAAACUUCCUAUAUAAACUUUCCAUUUGUUGUAACAAAUUUUCCCACAAAAGAAGAAAGCUAUCUUAUUUGAACUUAAAAGUUUAAGUAGAGCAGAACACAUCUAAAACCUUCUUGAUUUUCACUGAUCUUGAUUGUGCCAUGUCUUCAUCAGCUAUGUAUUGAUUUUUCAGAAUAUUUAUUUUCCACAUGGUGAAUGUGCCUGAAUUAUUGCUUGAUCCAAGUUCCUCAAGAAAUGAUGCAAAAAUCAUCACCUGCUUCAAACCAGGACUUUCUGUGACCAACACUAGUAUCUAAGACAAAGGAUAAUCUACAACUAAGAACUAGAAGUAUAAAACAACAAUGAUAUGGGCGGCUCCUGUGGCUCAGUCGGCACAUCCAGGAGGAGAAAAAGGAGGCACAGAAGUUCCUUCAAUCACAACAAUAAAACUGAUGCAUUCGCUGAAACAACUACAUGACUUUCUAGGGAAAACAAUUCUAAUUUUACAGAAGGCAUAAAAGAUGACACUGUGAAUUUUUCUUCACUUCUCUGGGGGAAGAAGGAAGGAAGGACAUCGAAAUCUAAUCUAGACAUAAAAAGAAUCUGAAGAAUCACAUCUGAAGGGGUAAGUUUAUUUAUUUAUUUUUUAAUUUUUUUUAUUUUUUGAGACAGACUCUCACUAUGUUGCCCUUGGUAGAGUGCAGUGGCAUCACAGCUCACAGGAACUUCAAACUCUUGGGUUUAAGUGAUUCUGUUGCCUCGGCCUCCCACGUAGCUGGGACUACAGGCCUGCAACAACACUCGGCCUUUGUUGUUGUUGUUGUUGUUGUUGUUGUUGUGUUUGCAGUUGUCAUUGUUGUUUAGCUGGCUCUAGUCAGGUUUAAACCUGCCAGCCUUGGUGUAUGUGGUGGUGCCAUAACUACUGUGCUACAGGCGUGAAGCCAGGGGUGUACGUUUUUUAAAUAGAAUUUUAUACAUGCAGAAUAUAAGCUGUACUCCUUUUAAUACCAAAAGUAAAAACACCAAAUACAUUUGAAUUUAGAGACAUCAUUAACUAAAUGAAGCAUUUAGUUUAAAAAUAAAAUGCCAAUCUGGUACUAAUUGAAGUAGAAACUGAAAGGAAGUUAAAAAUUUUACAAGUUUAGGGCGGCGCCUGUGGCUCAGUCAGUAAGGCGCCCGCCCCAUAUACCGAGGGUGACAGGUUCAAACCCGGCCCCGGCCAAACUGCAACCAAAAAUAGCCGGGUGUUGUGGCGGGCGCCUGUAGUCCCAGCUACUCGGGAGGCUGAGGCAAGAGAAUCGCUUCAGACCAGGAGUUGGAGGUUGCUGUGAGCUGUGUGAGGCCCCGGCACUCUACCGAGGGCCAUAAAGUGAGACCCUGUCUCUACAAAAAAAAAAAAAAAAAAAAAAAAAAUUUACAAGUUUAGCUUUUGAAAUUAUUAAGCGAAAUGGUGAAAAGCUAAGAAAUUUUUUCAGAAGACUAUAUUUAAACUGCUUAAGUAGUGUCCUUCUCAAACAAGAAAAUUUGGUGAGCGUGAAGUCUUUGUUUUAUUAUUAUAUGAGACAAUUAAAAUCAUCUUCGGCAUUCCAUUCCAGAUACAAAUCAUAUUUUAAACAUUUUGUCGAAAGUAGAAUUGGCUUUAGACACAAUGUGAAAUCUAUCUAGGUCCUUUAUUAAAAGGAUUUAUGUUGUAAAAUUUGGAUUUAACCAGAAGGCUGGUCCCAAGGCCACAAGUUCCCCACCCCCGAGAGAUACCAAGUUAUUCACAUACACUGAAUAUAACACAAUAUUUGGCAUGCUGUAAUAAUAAAGCAAAAAGCCUAUUCUUCAAAGAAAAUGUACGUUGGAAAAUAAUUCCUGUGUUUUUCUUCUUCUUAGUAUUUGGAUAUUAUGAUGGACUACGUGUUUGUGUCCCCUCCCUCUGCCAAAUUUGUAUGUUGAAGCCCUCACCCUUAUUGUGAUGACAUUAGGAGGUGGGCCUUUGGGAUUAGGUGUUAUGGCUGAAGCCCUCAUGAAUGGGAUUAGCGCCUUUACUAAAGACACCUGCCUUGUCCCUUCUGCAACACGAGGACACAGCAAGAAGACUGCUUUCUAUAAACCAGCAUGUGAUCUUGGGCUCCUCAACCUCUAGAACUGUAAAAAAUAAAUUUCUAUCGUUUAU